CUUGGUCAUUUAGAGGAAGUAAAAGUCGUAACAAGGUCUCCGUUGGUGAACCAGCGGAGGGAUCAUUACCGAGUUUACAACUCCCAAACCCCUGUGAACAUACCUUAAUGUUGCCUCGGCGGAUCAGCCCGCGCCCCGUAAAACGGGACGGCCCGCCAGAGGACCCAAACUCUAAUGUUUCUUAUUGUAACUUCUGAGUAAAACAAACAAAUAAAUCAAAACUUUCAACAACGGAUCUCUUGGUUCUGGCAUCGAUGAAGAACGCAGCGAAAUGCGAUAAGUAAUGUGAAUUGCAGAAUUCAGUGAAUCAUCGAAUCUUUGAACGCACAUUGCGCCCGGCAGUAAUCUGCCGGGCAUGCCUGUCCGAGCGUCACUUCACCCCUCGAGCCGCUUUUAGUGGAUCGGUGUUGGGGCACUACGGUAAAACGUAGGCCCCGAAAUGAAGUGGCGGUCCCGCCGCGGUGCCCCCAUGCGUAGUAACGUUUAGUCUCGCAUCGGGUCCCGGCGGAGGCCUGCCGUCAAGCCUUUUAUUCUCAGAAUAGUUUGACCUCGGAUCAGGUAGGGUUACCCGCUGAACUUAAGCAUAUCAAUAAGCGGAGGA
rnacentral:rRNA from 1 species